UUUUUGGCCAAGGGCUAUUGGAGAGAUAGGGGUGGGAUGCGGAGACAGAGAAACAGAACGAAAGGAAUUUGAGACCAGAGGAAGGAGGAGAGAAGAGCAAGGGGAGGGCACUGGCGGCAGAGCUGAGAAGCCCAGGCUGCCCUUUACCUCCACCUCCAGCCUGGGCACAGGGGCGAGCUCUGAGCUCAGAGACUCUGAGUCCUGCCUCUUGGGGCCUUGGGGAGGGGACCCCAGGUCUCCUGUAGGGUCUGGGCCCAACCCCCAAACCCUGGGGGCAGCUGGGUUGGAGUCCUGGGGUCAGUAUUCGGGGUGCAGGUGUGGGGUGCAGUGACUGAACUGCCCUCAUGGGAAAAGGAGGGAGGGGAUUGCAGGUACCUAGGGGGCAUGAACCUGGGCAUGCGUUGACUUAGUGUGUGUGGUCUCUUUGCAGCAGGGUUGUUGAGAGUGCGCGUGAGGUUGCGAGUAUGCUAGGACUCUGUGUGGACACCUGUGAACAUACAUGACCCAGUGGCAGACAAGCUGGGAUUUCAGUGGGGAGGGGAAGGACUGCAGGAAUGUGUGUCUAUGACCGGCAGGGAGUGGUUGUAUAUGUGUGGAAGGAUUUGUGUGAACCUGCCUUACAUGUUCUUGGGGAGGCUGUAUCCUGUGUAUGUAGGCAGGUGAACUGUAUAGCUCUGUACAAUUGUGUGUGGUGUGUGUGUGUGUGUGUGUGUGUGUGUGUGUGCCUGGAUGAAUAUGUAUCAUGUGUUUGAAUUGCUUAAGUAUUUACAUGUUAAAUGUGUAACUGCAUAUAUGUGUGGAUGUGUAUACAUGUUUGUAAUUGUCUUGAGGUAUAUGUGUGGAGUUACCUGUAUGAGUCUUGCCUGUAGGUUGUGUGUGCAGUCGUGUGUAUUUGUGGAGCAGUGAAUAUUAGGAAGCUGUUCACAUGUGCGGUUGUGUAUUUUGGGGGAUUAGGUUAUAUGUGUGGUUCUUUUUGGAUGGAGUUUCACUCUUGUCACCCAGGCUGGAGUGUAGUGUCAGGAUCCCGGCUCACUGCAACCUCUGCCUCCUGAGUUCAAGCAAUUCUCGUGCCUCAGCCUCCCGAGUAGCUGGGAUCACAGGUGUGUGCCACCAUGCCUGGCUACUUUUUGUAUUUUUAGCAGAGACGGGGUUUUGCCAUGUUGCCCAGGCUGGUCUUGAACUCCUGGCCUCAAGUGAUCUGUCCACCUCGACCUCCCAAAGGGCUGCGAUCACAGGUGCGAGCCACCAUGCCUGGCCUAUAUUUGUGGUUCUUAAGGCUAUACUUUAUUUUUUAUUUUUUGUUUAUUGUCAAACUUCCCCUGUCAGAAUGUAAACUCUAUUAGGACUGAAAUUUUUAUCUAUUUUGCUAACUAUUUUGCUAAUCUAUUCCUAGUGUCCAGAAUAGGGCCCAACACUUAGUAGGCACUGUAUACGUAUUUCUCCAAUGAAUGAUGAAUGAAAGUGUGCAUGCUUGGCAGGUGUGGGAAGUGUGUUAGGUGUAUGAAUCGUGCUUGUGUGUCUGGGUGUGUGAAUGGAUAAAUUUUUUGUGUCUUGAGUGUGUGAGGUUUCUAGCAUAAGUGGCCUAUGAACCAAGUACGUGCACAGGUGCAUGUGUGUCUAGGCGUGUGACUGUGUACCUGAAGCUGGGCCACGUCUGUGAGCAUUGCACACAACUGUGUGUGUGCACAGUUGUGUGUGCUUGUACAUGGGGGUGGGAAGGCGCUGUCGGCUUCUCCCAGCCUUCAGCACUCACUCAGCUUCACCCCAGGUCGCCUGCUGCGAAAUGUCAGUGGCAGAGAAGCUAAAAAUAUCUGCUCUCCUCCUUCUGCUCACUGCUUGGGCUGAUGGGACUGUGGGGCCCCAGCCGGCCCCUUGGGCCCUGCGGGGAGGAGGAACUGCUGGAUGAGGGGGCGGGUUACAGGGGAAGGAAGGGAGGCCCUCCUCAGUACACACCCUUCCCCCUUUCCUCUUGGGCUCCAAAGCCAGGCUUCAGGCUCACCUCUUUCAGGAAGCCCUCAAGAACCCCCCAGGAGCUGUGUGUGUCUGUGUGUCUGUCUACCUGGCAAGGAGAUAUGGCCCCCAUCAGACUGGAGCUCCACAGAGCAGGUCUGUGCCUCUUCUGCUCAUCCAGGGACUCCAGGGGACAGAGCUCUGUCUCCUUCAGACCAGGGGCUCCCAGGGAAAAGGCUGGUGCUGUCUCCUCCCUAAGCCUGAGGGUUACGGAUGCAGCCCAGGCCAGACAGGGCUUCACUGGGCUCUGGUUCUGGGGCCACUAGGGCCCUCUGACCCCAGGGCAGAUCUGCUGUGAUGAUGAGCUUGUGGGUAGGGAGGAGUCUCAGCUCUGCCCACACCACACCCUAGGCUGGCACGUGUUUGUGCUAUGGGUACUUGUGUGGGUGCAGGUGGGACAUGUCAGGGCCCGUGGUCCUCUGAGGACCUGUGCCUCUCCACAUGUCAGGCUCCUGCCUGCAUCAGUGGUGUCAGCGACUGCCUGCCUUGGGCACUGUGGUCAAUCAGUACAAGUUGAGUGUAUUGUAUGUUUCUCUGUGUUCUUUUUUUUUUGGGACGGAGUCUCGCUCUGACACCUCCCUAGUAGCUGAGACUACAGGCGUGUGCCACCACACCCGGCUAAGUUUUUGUAUUUUUAGUAGCAAGAGGGUUUCAUCAUGUUAGCCAGGAUGGUCUCCAUCUCCUGACCUCAGGUGAUCUGCCCGCCUCGGCCUCCCAAAGUGCUGGGAUUACAGGUGUGAGCCACCACACCUGACCUUCUCUGUGUUCUUGUGUGUGCACAUGGAUGACUGUGUUAUGUGGGUUUCUGCCUUUCAUUGUGCAGGCCUGCAGAUACUAGCAGGGAUGGACUCUGCAUUCAUGUGGGAGUUGCUGAUGUCACCAUGUGGGGUUUCUCUUUGUGUGUCAGUGUGCUCGGGUGUGUGUCUCUGUCAGAAGGUCGGUGCCUGUUUGUUCUGUGUAUGGAGGUGUAUGUGGGUGCAUCUGUGUGUCAGUGUUUCGAUUACCGUGUUUCUGUGUGUCUGUGUGUCUGUCUUCCUGGUUGUCAUUCUGUCUGCGGUACCUCCGUGCCUGUGUUGCGUGCCUAGGUCAGUUUGAUUUUGCAGGUCUGUAGGGCCACGUGUCCCUCUGUAUGUUGGUGUUUUCCAUGUGGGUUGGAAUCUGCCUCUGCUUUUCCUAAUCUCCCACCAUUUCUGUGUGGAAGGCCUCAGGCAUUGUGUGUGUGUGUGUGUGUGUGUGUGUGUGUGUGUGUGUGUGUGUGUGUAUGUGUGUGUGUGUUCAGCAACUUUCCCCAGCCCCAAAGCCUGCAACCCUGAGAUCUGCUCUCCCACUCUUUCUCCGUUGGACUUCAGGUGGGAGCUGAAGCAAAGAGGGCAGGCAGGCAGGGAGCCCACGACAGCCGGGGGCCGGGGCCAGGCUGCCACGAGGGCCCUACCUCAGCUUUCCUCCAAGCAAGCGCUAAGCCAGAGCCUCGGUUACAUGUAAACACCAGCUGUGUCAAGACGGCGCAGCUUCUUCUAGGUCAACAGACAGCUGUGGGGUUGCUAGGCAACCGCCUGGCUCCCCCCUCCAUUAGGCCCCCUCCCACUGCCUCUACCUGCAAACCCUCUGCUGGCUCCCCCUACGCCAGGAUAGGCCUCACCCCUCCGCGCCAAUUAACACAGCGGGACUGAGGGGGUAGGGGGUCAGGGCAGCUCCGGGACUGGAAUCAAGAUGGAGUCUGGAUCUGUCACGCAGGCUGGAGUGCAGUCGCGCGAUCUCAGCUCACUGCAACCUGUGCCUCCCGGGUCAAGCGAUUCUCCUGCCUCGGCCUCCCAAGGAACUGGAACCACAGGCGCGCGCCACCGCGCCCAAGGAUUUUCACUUUUAACUGUACAGUGAAGCACAGACUUCUGAGCCAGACUGCUUGGUCUGAACUCUGGUGUCACCACUUAAAAACAACAACAACAACAACAGAAGAGAAAACCCAAAAGAGUGAAAAAUAAGAAAGAAAAAAAAAGCUCCCGCAAGAGGUUCUUCUCCCUCCCCCCGACCAUGCGAAUUUGCACACCACGGGA